rnacentral:rRNA from 2 species
UACGUAGGGUGCGAGCGUUAAUCGGAAUUACUGGGCGUAAAGCGUGCGCAGGCGGCGGCACAAGUCAGGUGUGAAAUCCCCGGGCUUAACCUGGGAAUUGCGCUUGAAACUAGGUCGCUAGAGUGUGGCAGAGGGGGGUGGAAUUCCACGUGUAGCAGUGAAAUGCGUAGAGAUGUGGAGGAACACCGAUGGCGAAGGCAGCCCCCUGGGUCAACACUGACGCUCAGGCACGAAAGCGUGGGGAGCAAACAGG